CACGUGGGUAACCUGCCCAUAAGAGGGGGAUAACAUCCGGAAACGGGUGCUAAUACCGGUAGUAGUUUUCUUGGUCGCAUGAUCGGGAAAGGAAAGACGGCCUUUGUGCUGUCGCUUAUGGAUGGACCCGCGGCGUAUUAAGUUAGUUGGUGAGGUAACGGCUCACCAAGACGAUGAUACGUAGCCGACCUGAGAGGGUGAUCGGCCACAUUGGGACUGAGACACGGCCCAAACUCCUACGGGAGGCAGCAGUAGGGAAUCUUCCGCAAUGGACGAAAGUCUGGACGGAGCAACGCCGCGUGAGUGAAAGAAGGUUUUUCGGAUCGUAAAACUCUGUUGUCAGAGAAGAACAAGUUGGAGAGUAACUGCUCCAGCCUUGACGGUAUCUGACCAGAAAGCCACGGCUAACUACGUGCCAGCCGCGGC
rnacentral:rRNA from 1 species